GAUGAACGCUGGCGGCGUGCCUAAUACAUGCAAGUCGAGCGAAUGGAUUAAGAGCUUGCUCUUAUGAAGUUAGCGGCGGACGGGUGGGUAACACGUGGGUAACCUGCCCAUAAGUCUGGGAUAACUCCGGGAAACCGGGGCUAAUACCGGAUAACAUUUUGAACCGCAUGGUUCGAAAUUGAAAGGCGGCUUCGGCUGUCCCUUAUGGAUGGACCCGCGUCGCAUUAGCUAGUUGGUGAGGUAACGGCUCACCAAGGCAACGAUGCGUAGCCGACCUGAGAGGGUGAUCGGCCACACUGGGACUGAGACACGGCCCAGACUCCUACGGGAGGCAGCAGUAGGGAAUCUUCCGCAAUGGACGAAAGUCUGACGGAGCAACGCCGCGUGAGUGAUGAAGGCUUUCGGGUCGCAAAACUCUGUUGUUAGGGAAGAACAAGUGCUAGUUGAAUAAGCUGACACCUUGACGGUACCUAACCAGAAAGCCACGGCUAACUACGUGCCAGCAGCCGCGGUAA
rnacentral:rRNA from 1 species